ACGAAGGGUGCAAGCGUUACUCGGAAUUACUGGGCGUAAAGCGUGCGUAGGUGGUUUGUUAAGUCUGAUGUGAAAGCCCUGGGCUCAACCUGGGAAUGGCACUGGAUACUGGCAAGCUAGAGUGUGGCUGAGGGUAGUGGAAUUCCUGGCGUAGCAGUGAAAUGCGUAGAGAUCAGGAGGAACAUCCGUGGCGAAGGCGACUGCCUGGGCCGUACCUGACGCUAAGACGCGACAGCACGGGGAGCGAACGG
rnacentral:rRNA from 1 species